rnacentral:rRNA from 1 species
GAUGAACGCUGGCGGCGUGCCUAAUACAUGCAAGUCGAGCGAACAGAUGAGGAGCUUGCUCCUCUGACGUUAGCGGCGGACGGGUGAGUAACACGUGGAUAACCUACCUAUAAGACUGGGAUAACUUCGGGAAACCGGAGCUAAUACCGGAUAAUAUAUUGAACCGCAUGGUUCAAUAGUGAAAGACGGUUUUGCUGUCACUUAUAGAUGGAUCCGCGCCGCAUUAGCUAGUUGGUAAGGUAACGGCUUACCAAGGCAACGAUGCGUAGCCGACCUGCGAGGGUGAUAGGCCACACUGGAACUGAGACACGGUCCAGACUCCUACGGGAGGAAGCAGUAGGGAAUCUUCCGCAAUGGGCGAAAGCCUGACGGAGCAACGCCGCGUGAGUGAUGAAGGUCUUCGGAUCGUAAAACUCUGUUAUUAGGGAAGAACAAAUGUGUAAGUAACUAUGCACGUCUUGACGGUACCUAAUCAGAAAGCCACGGCUAACUACGUG